AACAACACAUACUCAUAAUGGAUUAAUUUCUUCUUUUAUUAAGACAAUUUCAAUAUCACUACAAUUGAUCAUUAUUGUAAAAGCACUCAUAAAGGAUAAAAUAAAUAACUGAUUACACAAUUUUUUUGCAUCCCCCUGGGGGACAAGGGUAGAUAUAAUCUUCGAGAGCUUUCUUUAACUCUGCAAUCAAACACUCUUCCCUUGUAAGCCCUGAGCAAUCAACUAUGUCAGGUGAUGCUGUAGGAUUAAUGGAAAAUGAGGCAUCUGGGUUAGAUCCUUCGCCAAUGUGACUGGCUAAAAUAAGUCUACUUUUAGUGUUUGCCACUACAAGCAAAGCCAAGAUGAUGAAACUAAGGCUCCUCGACAUAUUUAUGCUUCUUAGGUGAAUUAUCAGUAACUUAAUUAGAAGUAAAA
rnacentral:lncRNA from 1 species